CCUACGGGAGGCAGCAGUGGGGAAUAUUGCACAAUGGGGGGAACCCUGAUGCAGCGACGCCGCGUGAGUGAAGAAGUAUUUCGGUAUGUAAAGCUCUAUCAGCAGGGAAGAUAAUGACGGUACCUGACUAAGAAGCCCCGGCUAACUACGUGCCAGCAGCCGCGGUAAUACGUAGGGGGCAAGCGUUAUCCGGAUUUACUGGGUGUACAGGGUGCGUAGGUGGCAGGGCAAGUCAGAUGUGAAAGCCCGGGGCCCAACCCCGGUACUGCAUUUGAAACUGUCCGGCUGGAGUGCAGGAGAGGUAAGCGGAAUUCCUAGUGUAGCGGUGAAAGGCGUAGAUAUUAGGAGGAACACCAGUGGCGAAGGCGGCUUACUGGACUGUAACUGACACUGAGGCACGAAAGCGUGGGGAGCAAACAGGAUUAGAUACCCUUGUAGUC
rnacentral:rRNA from 1 species